UGACAGCCCAUUACUUAAAGUUUUCUAAAGGACCCCAAACUACAACUUAAUCAUCAUUCAUAGGUGAAAUUUUCUUUGAGAGAAAUCUGAAGUAGCAUGGUUUUUUUCCCCCUCAACUAAGUACAGUUUAGUCAUUUUGCCAUUGGACUCUUGGUUGCUGAGCCAAAAUGGCGAAGGUAGAGAGCCGAUCACAUAAGCAUUUCGUAUGGGAUGCAUCGAUUCCAUGCAAGGUGAUUUGUCAAAUUUGAUGGAAAAUUUGAAAGAGCAAAAGUGCUUUAAUGAACUUACUGACUCAGAUGGGAAACAGCCUUGAGAAGCAAAACAUCCUGAAGCAGUCAUGUUCCCGUUUCAGUGUGAAGUGUCCCCCACUGGCUCAUGUGCUGAAUGCUUGGUUCUUAUGGUCCUAUUUUGGGAAUUUCUGGAAACUUUAAGAGGCCGCCUUCACUGGAGAGAGUCCUAGGGUAUAGAUCCUGGAGGUAUCCUUCUUCUCCUGCCUAUCUGCCUCCUCCACAUGCUCUUGCUUUUGUGAUGUUCUACCUCACCACAGGCCCAGAUAAAUGGAGAUGAUGAAACCUCAAAAACUGUGAGCCCAAAUAAAUUGAUCUUCCUCUGU